UACGUAGGGUGCGAGCGUUGUCCGGAAUUAUUGGGCGUAAAGAGCUUGUAGGCGGUUUGUCGCGUCUGCUGUGAAAAUCCGGGGCUCAACCCCGGACUUGCAGUGGGUACGGGCAGACUAGAGUGUGGUAGGGGGAGACUGGAAUUCCUGGUGUAGCGGUGAAAUGCGCAGAUAUCAGGAGGAACACCGGUGGCGAAGGCGGGUCUCUGGGCCGAUACUGACGUGAGGAGCGAAAGCGUGGGGAGCGAACAGG
rnacentral:rRNA from 1 species